AGUCACUGACAUUAGAUACCCGGGUAGUCCAGGGUGUAAACGCUGCAGACUUGGUGUUGGAAGUCCUUUGGGGGCAUUCAGUGCCGGAGAGAAGUUGUUAAGUCUGCUACUUGGGAGUACGUCCGCAAGGAUGAAACUUAAAGGAAUUGGCGGGGGAGCACCGCAACGGGAGGAGCGUGCGGUUUAAUUGGAUUCAACACCGUAAGACUCACCAGGGAAGACUGUUACAUGAAAGCCGAGAUGAAGACUCUGCUAGAUUUUCAG
rnacentral:rRNA from 1 species